GUACUUACCUGGCAGGGGAGAUACCAUGAUCAUGAAGGUGGUUUUCCAGGGCGAGCUUGUCCAUUGCACUCCGGAUGUGCUGAUCCCUCCAAUUUCCCCAAAUGUGGGAAAUUCAACUGCAUAAUUUGUGGUAGUGAAAGACUGUGUUCGCACUCUCCCCUG